UACGGAGGAUGCAAGCGUUAUCCGGAAUGAUUGGGCGUAAAGCGUCCGCAGGUGGCAAUGUAAGUCUGCUGUUAAAGAGUCUAGCUCAACUAGAUAAAAGCAGUGGAAACUACAUAGCUAGAGUACGUUCGGGGCAGAGGGAAUUCCUGGUGUAGCGGUGAAAUGCGUAGAGAUCAGGAAGAACACCGGUGGCGAAAGCGCUCUGCUGGACCUUAACUGACACUGAGGGACGAAAGCUAGGGGAGCGAAUGGG
rnacentral:rRNA from 1 species